rnacentral:rRNA from 1 species
GAUGAACGCUAGCUACAGGCUUAACACAUGCAAGUCGAGGGGCAGCAUGAAUCUACUUCGGUAGAUUUGAUGGCGACCGGCGCACGGGUGCGUAACGCGUAUCCAACCUUCCCGUUACUCCGGGAUAGCCUUCCGAAAGGGAGAUUAAUACCGGAUGGUGUUCAAGUGGUGCAUAUUAUCUGAACUAAAGAUUUAUCGGUAACGGAUGGGGAUGCGUACCAUUAGAUAGUAGGCGGGGUAACGGCCCACCUAGUCCACGAUGGUUAGGGGUUCUGAGAGGAAGGUCUCCCACACUGGAACUGAGACACGGUCCAG